rnacentral:lncRNA from 1 species
UGCUUAUGUAAACCUUCUUGUGCGCUGCAGUGCUGCACGGAACUGUAGUGCCCACCCAAAUCAGAUAGUAGCUUUAUCUGUGUUGGGUGGGGCCUGCUGGUUCAAUUUGGAAACAUGCAGCAGAGAUUUUCUGUGUUACUUGACUGUCAGAGCUUAGGGCUGGAGAUGUGUAGAAAUCAGUUUCCUGCCCUCCUCUGCCUCAAGGCUUCUCCCCAUUGUUCUAUAGACCUGGGGUGUUCAUCUGAGACUUGGGAGGCCACAGCAACUCUGAAUAUGGUGAAGAUACUCCUAUACACGUUUCUAUUUGUUUUAAUGCAAAACCCAACAUAAACUGGUGCUGAUGCCAGUGGGUGUAGCACCUCGUGGGUAGAAGGUAAGACAAGGGCCCUGACAUUGAACAGGGCUGGAACCACUCUCAGAACCUCUGAAGAUACCUAGCUUCUGGCCUAACACUUCAGGGUUAUAAGUCAGAAUGUGGAAAAAUGGCCUGCAAUGUGAGGGAAGCUGUUUCUGUCAAAAGCACUUUUGCAGCAGUAAGCAAAUGAAUUAACCAAUAUGAAUACCUGAAAAUUCCCUGUAACUCAUUUCUUCCAUAUGAAGAAUCCAAACUGAACAAAAGUUUUUACAAAUAGCAAAAUUUUCCCUCCCCAUGUAGUCCACCCUAGUUUAAUCAUCUGGGUUAAUGACUACAAGUAGGUCAUUGUGCAGGUUAAAGCCACGACCAUAGUGUGAUUGGACAUGUGCAAAUUAAAAACUGUUACAGUAUUUAGAGCUGCUGCGGCUGGUCCAUUAGCCACGUACAGUAGGAUGAAUUGCUGUCAUUCAGGUUGGUGGCAGUCAGUUAGAACAUGUGUAAUAUUCUCUACCUGUUCUGUAGCUGUAACUGUGAUGUACAGGCAAAGGAAAAAUUAAAAAUACUUAUGAAAACAGAUAAUGCAAUGAUACUGGGAUAUACACUUUUGUAUUUUUAUUCUUAUAUAAGGUUAUUUGCUGGCUAUUGUCGGCCUCUAGUUCAGUCUGUGUUAUUUAAAUUCUAAUAUAUGAAUUAUUUGGAUUGAAUUCAUGUUUGGGGCCACGUUGUUGUAUGUAUUGAUGUACAGCCUUGAGUGUGAAUAAUUAUUGUAAACUAUAUUUUACAACUUUUUUCCUGGCUUUAUUAUAUAAAUUUUCUAUUUGGUCAUGGUUUAAUCAUAUAAUUUAAUGAAACAACUUUUCUUUUUUUUGUUUUUUUCAAAUAUCUGUGCUUUAGAUGUAAUUACCGGAUGAUGGAUUUCCCUCGUAUGCUCGGUAGUCUUGUAAUAAAAGCAUGUAGAGUG